rnacentral:lncRNA from 1 species
GAGUGACAUGACUGAAGACGACGUCGUUUGAAGCUCUAACUCUUCCUUACACUGAGAACACCAACCUCUGUACUUUUCUUUGAUUAUUUCUAGGAAGUUCACUUAAUGUAUAAAGGGGACCUUCCCGUUUUAAAUUCUCACGUGUAUUUUUCUAUUUAGAAUAUAAAACUCUCUCUCUCUCUCUUGUGCAAAAAUUAUUACUUGUUCUAUUGUUCUUUCAUCUCGAUAUUUCUACACGACUAUCACUAAUCUUAGCUACACGAUAUCCUCUUGUUCAUAUAACGCUUGAUUCCGAUUGACCCUUGUUAUUUUCGAUUAUUUUUUAGCUUAAUAAGUAUUUACAUAACUAUUUAGCAAAACAAUUUGGCGCCGUCUGUUGGGAUUGCGUGGAUCAAAGUUGGACUUUACUUCUACAGAUCCUUCAAAAACCACUUUCCACAACCUACAAUUUCUGAAAACAACGCUAGAAUGAAAGCUAUCGUGGAUGCUAGAACUGAUCUAAUGGCCCUCUCAAUGCGGCUGCUGAAGGGGAUGCUCUACACGCAACCCCUAAUACCCUGAUAAACGUGGAAACCCAGCUUCCCGUUCUUAAGAUCUGGUGGUUCUAUGAGAAAAAGAGGCUUCUACAUCUACAACUAAACAACAACCCCAAGAGGUAAAAAGCUUACUGGAAGAGUGGUUGACAAACGCUCUGAGCAGUUUAGUUGGGAAGCCACCCAAAACGCUAGAUGCACACCAGCGACAAACCAUGUUGUAGUCGAAGAUGAACUCAAGGUCACACGAACAAACAACAUGCCCGUCGAUGCUCAAGCCCACAGGGGCACACUUACAGCCAUCCCCAAAAAGAUGGAGGAAAUGGAAAACAAAAAUAUGUCGCUUCACGACCAGAUGAAGGAGCACCAAGAAAGAGUGGACAAGAUCUCGGGUGCGCCUACGCUACUGCCAAAGCGAGACUUAGGUAUGUUCAUUGAACAACCCUGCACAGAAGGUUAGGCAUUGUACCCUAUCCCAAAAACCAUAAAAAUGCCCCCUCCUUGAAGGUAUAUGACGGGACCUCAGAUCCCGAGGACCAUCUGAUUCACAAUGCCAGGGCUGUCAAAGGUAUUGAUCUAUUAAAGGAGCAGGCACCAUCUGUGCUUCUGAAGAAGUUUGACGAAACGCUAACAUGAGAGGCCCUAACGUGGUACUCCCAGUUGCCGGCCAAAAGCAUCUCCACGUUCGAGGAAAUGGCAGAUAAAUGUGUCAUCGCCCACGCAGAAGCCAAGAAGCGGAAGCACGAGUCAACGACAUCUUUGUUGUCCGACAAGCCUCGGGAGAAGGGAUCAGAGAGUUCUUAGCCAGGUUCAACAGGGUAAGAAUGAGCCUACCAAAUUUGUCAGAAUGCAUGGCAGUCGCGGCUUUUCAGAACUGACUCAGCAGAGAAGGCUCAUGGGCAACCAGGAAACUGCUUAGCCAUCUUAUGAAAUAUCUCCCCAUCACCUGGGAAGAAAUUCACAAUGCCUUUUGUGCUGAGGUAUGUGGAGACGAUGAUGACCUUAAUAGCCCGACCCGGCAACUAAUGACGGUGCAACCAGAAAUCCAAAGAGAUCGACUCAAUAAGAGAUGACGGGAACAAGUCCCACGCUUCAAUAGUGAGAGGCACCAACUCUACAUCAGAUCUUCACAUCCGCCAAGGCACGCAGAUGCCUUACAAAGACAUGUCGCCCCACUGAGGAAAGAAAGAGGUAUGCCUACUUUACUAUCUGCACAUAAGUUUUGUGUAUCUCCUUCAGAAGUAGUGUACGCACUGGAGAAGCUGGACAACAAAGUACAAUGGCCAGCGAAGAUGAACUCUGACCCCGCCACCUGAAAAUCAAAUACCCUACGUGAGUUCCACUAGGAACGGGGGCACAGAAAUGAAUACUGCAUAGGUCUCCGACAGGAGGUGGUCCGGAUGUUGAACCAAGGAUUCUUGAAAGAACUUCUCAGCGACAAAGGAAACCUCAACUUCGCACGCGGGCGGGAACAACCUCACGGCCCGCCAAGGCCGCCCUCACCAAAACACACCAUCAAUAUGAUCAUUGGGGACGGUAAUGACUCAGCGAUCAACCAUGUCAAAUUCACCACCACUCACAAAUUAAAGCAAACCAUCAGUCACGAACGGUAUGACGACUUAGAAUAUAGUAUCACCUUCGAUAAGUCUAAUACCGAUGGUUUGUUUUUUCCCCACCAUGAUGCUUUAUUUAUUACUUUACACAUAGUAGAUACUAACGUUGAAAGUAUUUUGGUCGACGAUGGCAGUGGCGCAUGUAUCAUUUAUCUAGGAGUCAUUGCACUAAUGGGACUCGAGGAUAAUAUAAUUCCAUGCUGUAUAACACUAACUUGUUUUAACAAUGCAGUGGAAAGAACCUCUCGGGAGGUAACACUGCCCGUUCUGGCAGGAGGGGUUACGAUGGAAACCACUAUGCACGUAAUUAACCAAGAAACGACAUACAACAUCAUAAUCGGAUGUACGUGGACAUGGAAGACAUCCGUGGAUAAAUGCCGUGAGGGAAGUCCCCUCCAAUUUCUAUCAAGUGAUUAAAUUCCCUACCCGAUGGGCGGUGUACAGCAUACAGGGCGAGCCGCGCACCACCCAAGAGUGUUAUAAAAUAGCUCAAGAUUACAUGCACCCCAACAUCUCAAAAGAGCAAGUGCGGAGGCAUAGCAAUCAGCCCUGUCGAGGGAUAAGGUCCACCCAAUAGAGGACUCCAUCAAAGAUCCCAAUAACAUUGAGGCUAACAAGACCACAGUCGAAGAUCUCGACCCCAUCCAGCUGAGCAGCAACGAUUCCACAAAGAAGUCUUAUAUAGGCCACGGCCUUUCAAAUCCAAGUAAGUAUCGUGAAUUUCUAUCUAACCAUGCAGGCAUGUUUGCUUUUUCCCAUGUAUAUAUUCCAGAGAUUCCACGAGAAAUUGCCUCCCAUAAACUGAAUGUUGAUCCGCUACACCCACCUAUGCGACAGGUAAGGAGAAAAUUCAAUGUCGCCAUCAAUUAAGUAGUAAGUGAAGAAGUAGAGAAGCUGCUUUGCGAACGGUUACAUUAGGGAGUACAAGUAUCUGGAAUGGGUUGCCAACGUUGUAAUGGUAAAAAAAUAAAAUGGGAAGUCGCGGAUGUGCGAGGUUUCCAUCGACCUAAACAAUGCGCGUCCAAAAGAUACGUUCCCACUGCCCCACAUCGACUAAUUAAUAGACGCAACGGCAGGGAUGAGUUGCUAAGCUUCUUAGAUGUGUACUCCUGCUACAAUCAAAUCAUGAUGGCCAAGGAAGAUCAGGAGAAAACAACCUUCAUCACUCACAAGGGAACAUACUGUUACAGGGUAAUGACCUUCGGGCUUAUGAAUGCGAGGGCCACAUACCAGAGGCUGGUGACUAUGAUGUUCAAAGAACAACUCGGCAACAUGAUGGAGGUCUAUAUUGAUGACAUGCUAGUGAAGUCAUCAAAGAAAGAGGACACCCGCUAUCACUUGAAAGAAGACUUCAAAAUAUUAAGAAGAUACGAUAUGAAUUAGAAUCCUGAAAAAUACAGAUAUGGCAUAGCCUCGGGAAAGUUCCUGGGGCUUCUGGUGUAACAAAUGGGCAUCGAAGUCAACCCAAACUAGAUCAAGGCCAUAGAAGCCAUAAUAGAAAUACUAAGCAGCAGAAAAACAAGUGCAAAAGCUGAUAGGUCGAAUAACCGCCCUCUCCGGGUUCAUCACACGCUCCUCCGACAGGUGCCAUAAAUUCUUCGGCGUAUUGAAAAAAGACCUAGGACUACAAUGGAACGAAUAAUGGGUCGAUGUCAUGAGGAGUUUGAAGGCAUAUCUGUCAUUGCCACCCCUACUAGUCAAAGCCAACCUAGUAGAACUGAUGUUGGUGUAUUUGGCUGUAUCGAAAGUCGCGGUUAGCGCCAUCCUAGUGUGCAAAAAUAGAGGUACUCAAUCUCCUAUUUAUUUCAUUAGCAAAAAUUUAGUGGAUGCCGAAACUCGGUACCCACACCUUGAGAGGCUGGCAUUGGCACUCAUAGUAGAUUCACGAAAGCUACGACCCUAUUUCCAAGCAACCCCAUAAGGGUAGUAACGACCUUCCCUUUAAGGAGUGUCUUACACAAACCCGAAUUCUCAGGCCGUCUCGCCAGAUGGUCCAUUGAGCUCAGCGAGCAUGAUAUCACAUACCUUCUAAGGACCGCCAUCAAGUCGCAAGUCCUAGCCCACUUUAUUGUCGACUUCAGUGUAGAAGUCCCGCCAAAGGGGAACUCGUGGCACAAUGCGCAUCCUCCAUAGACAACCUAUGGGUCCUUUAUACGGAUGGCGCUGCCAAUGCAUCGAUAUCAGGAUUGGGACUUGUUCUUGAGGUCACGGGCAAAACAAUUCGCCAGUCCAUACGAUGCCCGGAAAUGAGUAACAAUGAGGCCCAGUAUGAGGCCGUUAUUGCAGGCAUGAAACUGGCCACUAAAUAUGGGGCUCGCGGAAUCCUCCUCCAUUACGACUCCCAAUUUUUGGUAAACUAGGUUACUGGGAUUCAUCAAAUCAAAAUACAAAGGCUACAAAAGUACCAGACAGAAAUCCGCAAGCUGAUGGCUACAUUUGUCAAAUGUUGUUUCGAACAAAUCCCCAGAGAACGGAACAUCGAAGUGGACAGCCUGGCAAAGUUGGCUGCAACCACCAACAACAUUAACAAAGAAAGUGUGGUCACUCUCCUCCACUCGGUAGUUGAUCACACCGACGUACUUUCUUUAAAACUAACUUGGGACUAGCGUAACCAGUUCAUAUCUUAUCUGCAGGACAGGAUAUUACCCCCAAUAAAAAAGAGGCAAAGAAACUUUGCGUACAGGCCGUCCGAUACUGCAUGAUCAACAAGGACCUUUACAAAAGGACAUUUGGUGUCCCCUGGCUAAAUUCCUAGGGCCAUACCAAACAAGGCCAGUACACGAAAAAGUGCACGAAGGCCAUUGUGGUGCCCAACUAGCAACCGCGCCCUUGUGCCAUCAUAUUUGCUGGCUACUACUGUCCCACCAUAAAAAAUGAGGCAGCUGAAUAUGUCCUCCAAUGCAAACAAUGCCAAAAGUACGACCCAAUGAUACACCAACCAAGAGAACCCCUCCAUUUAGUCAUUUCCCCCUAGCCAUUCAUCAAAUGGGGAAUGGAUAUAGUCGGCCCACUACCUGCAGGACUAGGAAAGGUACGAUUUUUACUUGUUUUAACUAACUAUUUUUCUAAGUGGGUGGAAGUAGGUGCGUACGCACAAAUACGCGAACAAGAAGUCAUCUCCUUCAUAGGAAAAACAUCAUUUGUCGCUUCGGCAUCGCCAAAGAAAUCCAUUGCGACAACUGGCGACAAUUCAUCGGUCAAAAAACAACCGAGUUCUUCUGGAAAUUGCACAUCAAUAGAAUACUAUCCAUGCCAUACCACCCCGCUGCCAACGGCCAAGCGGAGUCCUCUAACAAAACAAUUCUAAACAUACUGAAAAAAAAAAGAAGCUUGAAGACGCCAAGGGGCUAUGGCCCGAACUAAUACCUGAAGUCUUGUGGGCAUACAGAACUACACCUAAGUCCAGCACUAGGGAAACCCCAUACUCACUAGUUUAUGGAACCGACGCGGUCAUACAUGUCAAAGUAGGCAAUCCACCAUAAGGUAUUCGCACACCAGCAGAACAGAAAACGACACCAGCAGACUUCAAGAUCUUGAUGAAGCCGAAGAAAGAAGGGAAAUGGCCCACAUCAGGAUGGUAGACCAAAAUUAGCAAGUCGAAAGAUAUUACGACAAAAGGGAAAAAAUGAGUCCACUAACAGUAGGAGACUAUGUCCUCAAAGCCAAUACGUUGGCUUCUAAAGACCCAAGUGAAGGAAAAUUGGGCACAAACUGGGAAGGACCGUACAAGACCACAGCGACAGCCGAAAAAGGAGCAUUCCAUCUAGAUACAAUGAAAGGAACAAACACUCCGGAACAACUGGAAUGUCGCUCACCACAAACAUUUCCACUUCUAAAAGGCCUCCCCUAAGUCGUACUCUUUUUUCCUUACCUGUGUUUUGUCCCAAUACAGUUUUCUCGGGAAGGUUUUUAACGAGGCGGAAAAGGGAACACCUGGAGAUGUUUGCAGUACAAGUGUAUCAUAUCAGCCUCUUUGUGUACUAUCCAAGCCCAACAUGAUACAAGGACUGGAUUAGUGCCAUCUCCAAUGUAUGAAAAGGCUACAGCCAUCUCCAAAUGUAUGACAAGGCUACGGCCACCUCCAAAUGUAUGAAAAGGCUACGGCCUCCUCCAAAUGUAUGAAAAGGUUACAGCCAUCUCCAAAUAUAUGAAAAGGCUACGACCACCUCCAAAUGUAUUAAAAGGCUACGGCCAUCUCAAAAUGUAUGAAAAUUCUACGGCUAUCUCCAAUGCACAAAAAGGCUAAGGCUAUCGAAUUUUACAUGGCUAAGGCCAUCAUUUUUACGGGGCUAAGGCCAUUGAAUUUUACAUGGAUAAGGCCAUAAUUUCUACAUGGCUAAGGCCAUUGAAUUUUACAUGGCUAAGGCCAUCGUUUUUACACGGCUAGGGCCGUCGAGUUUUACAUGGCUAAGGCCGUCAUUUUUACAUGGCUAAGGCCGUCGAAUUUUACAUGGCUAAGGCCAUCAUUUUUAUGCGGAUAAGGCCGUCGAGUUUUACAUGACUAAGUCCAUCAUUUUUACAUGUCUAAGGCCGUCAAAUUUUACAUGGCUAAGUCCAUCGUCUUUAUGCGGCUAAGGCCGUCGAAGUUUACAUGACUAAGGCAAACGUUCUUACAUGGCCAAGUCCGAAAAACCCCUUACAUAGCUAAGGCCGUAAAUUAUUACACGACUAAGGUUGUAAAAUCUUACAUGGUUAAGGCCGCCGUUGAACACGGAUUAAGUCCGUAAGAUCUUACAUAGCUAAAAUCCAUCAUUUUAUACGGCUAAGUCCACCCUUUUCACGUACCUAAGGUUGUCAAAAUUUAUGUAGCCGAAGCCAUAAUUUCUUCUCGACAAAGGCCGCCAAAUCCUUUGCGCUCAGAGUGGUCGCCACCGAAUUACCCACCUAGCUUCAACUAUGGCAAAAAAAACAACAAGGCUCCAGAAAACAUAAAAAGAUUAACUAUGUCAAAAGUCAUGUCUUUAUCUUCAAAAGGGGCCAACACCCAUGAUACAAAAAUCGGUAUAUACAAACAUAUUUGUUUACAAAAAUCCUGAAGGCCUCCGCCACUGUGAUCAUCCUGCCCCACCUGAUCUUCAUGUGGUCCAUCUUUAUUCCAGGAGUGUAUGCCUUGGAAAUCCAAGAGCUGGACUCCAAACGGUUAUUAUCUGCAGAGUUUCCCCCCUCCUAGGCCUGUGAUUCAUACUAUAGCCGGCCGCUUCACGGGAAACUCCAACCAACUGCCGUUGACUCUCAACCUCCGCCUCAGAUGCUCGCCCGACCACAAGAAAUUCUUCAAGUACGACUAGUCAGGCCUCUGCAUACACCCACAUCUCGUGUGACUCACGAGACGUAUCAGGCCGUGCAAUAUCCCUCUUUAGGUCCUCAACCUCGGCCUUCUUGGCAUCAAGUUCCGCUGUUAAGGCCGCAACCCUAGUGCUCAAUUUUGCUGCCUUGUCUGCCACUACGCGACCGAGAAGCAAUUUGUCAUCCUUAGAUUGAAUAAGGAUCUCCAUCUCCGCAUCCCAAGCAACAACGACUAUGAGUUUCUCAUCAACUUUCUCCAGCUCAGCCACCCUCUUCUUCAACCGUGCCUUAGACUGCAUGAGGCCCUCACGGAACAAUAUAAAGUUAUGGUCAUGUUUAUGCAUAUCGGCCAAGGUUCGGUGCGACUCACGCAUCCUGUUAUACUUCUGCACCAACUUAUGUACUUGGCCACUUUCUUCUUUAAACGUACACCCCUCUCCGCCUUCAAGAUUAGAUUGUUUAAAAAGCCUAAAAGUUUAAGCAAGGAAAAUCACCCUCCACAAAUACAAAAAAAAAAUCAAUGAAGUCAAAAGACAUACCUGCAAGGCCGUACUCGCCACUCUUCGGACAAAGUCUUUGUCACUAGUCUCCGCCAGGGCUGCGCUCUUGGCACCCGCACAUAAAAGUGUCAUACUGGCGGCCACCUCCUCGCAAUUUUCCAACAAAUUAUAAUGACUGGGAAUCACUAUGCGACGGGAAGCCUGGCCAGCUACCAUCUCCACUUGGUCUAAGGACACGCCUUCUCCGCCCACGUCCUCGAUGGCUAUUUUUGAGCUCGCCACAUCCACACUCACCCCUGUCUCUACGACCACCCGCGAUCUUCCAUCCCAAGCACGUGCCGGGAGGAGGUCAGUAACUACCUCCCUUAUAAGAGAAGACCUCCCGGAGCGAAUGGCUUCAGCCAUGAACCUUCGCCUUGCCAGCAUGAAUCCGGCGUCUCUUCAUUCUAGCGGCUCUUCUUCUUCAAGGCCCCUCUCCGUGGGAUUCAAGUCAGGCUCAGAUGGCAUCACUUCGAUAGUGGGCAUCCUUUUGGGGGAAACCUCGGGGACGGUCCUAGGCACAGUCGUCGGUAUCUCCUUGGGCAUCAUCUCAAGCAUGGCCCACGCACUGCCUCUGACAUUGCCUCGGGAUCCGCCGCUUAUGCGGCUUCUUCCCUUGAGGGGUAGAAGCACUGCCCCUAGACGUACCUACGAGGAUCAUAUCCUCCUCAUCAGAAUUAGACGCCGCCAUAGAAGAGCCGUCCACAUUUUUUUCCUUCUUCUUCUUCGCCUUCUUCGAAGCGCCCCAGCCUACGAAAACAUGUAUGAGUUGAGCAAGAAAAAUUAAGGGGGGUCUCCAAGCCAAUACGGAAAGGAAAAACCAAGCAAGGUCAUUACCUGUCGGGCCAUAGAUCUUGAGGAAUUCAGGACAUGUGUGGCAUUCCUCCGCAAAUGGGAUUAUUGCUCUCACCCACGACCUAAUAUCAUCAAUCCGUCGAGGAGUGCGAGAUAUCACUACAUAAAGGCAAAAGAAAAUCUACAAUAGUUAAGCCGACGAAAUAAGAUUGCCAUAAAAACUGCAUACAAAAAUGCUUACUCGAUGUGUUCCAUGCCUCCGGGAACCCUUCAGGGUUAGACGCCAGAUGCUGAGUACGAACGUAGAAAAAUUUCUUCCAAAAUUUACGAUUGGCCUUGUCGUUGGCUUGCACCACAAAACUCAUCUUGCCCCAACAUACCAACUGGAGCAUGGUACCUCUCAUGAAGCUCACGCUGAACAUUUGCAAGAGGUGGUGAACAGAGACCUCUUUCUCAGCCUUAGCCGCAUAGGUGGUAAGAAUCCUACACACCUUCAGCGCAUAUGGGGUAAGUUGGGCCAGACACGCCCCAUACAAACGAUAAAUCUCCUCCGCCAGAGGAUUCCAGCCUUAGCAAGCGUACGUGGUAAGAAUCCUACACACCUUCAGCGCGUACGGGGUAAGUUGGGCCGGACACAGACCAUAUAUCCAAUCCGGAAAGCAAUAUCAUAAAACGUGCAAUAUACUGGUCUGUGCACUUUGGGAUAGUAUGUCCUAGUUAGAGUCAUCUCAACAUAAUCAGGAAUAUUGUACGACUUCCUGAGAGCAGCCAAAUGAGGCAAGGAGAGAGUUUAUAUUUGUUGUUAAAAUCCUUCCGUGGGACCAUAUAUUGUGGAAGUAUGUUGGACAUUCAUAGAUGAACGAGGACCUCCUCGGCUUCUCCUUCCCCGUCGUCUAAGGACGAUGAAACCCUUGAAGGGGCAUCACCCUUGGUCUUUUCGCAAUCGUGGCAACGCUUAACCAUGAUGAAAGUUAUGAAAGAAUGGCGCUUCACGGGCAUAGGGUUCGAAUUUCGGGACCAAAAAUUUUAAGUAGAUCGACGAGUAUCAGAAAAAAAUGAGGAUAAGAUUGAGAAAUUACUCUGUGAAAAGGUUCGAAAGUUGAAUUGGGUUCGACCUCCCCUCUACUUAUAAGGAAAGGCACGCGAAAAUCAAAAAGGCAUGAUUCGAUGACCGGCACGGAAAACCAAAAUGGCACAUCAUGUCCUGAACCGGUUCGGAAGUAAAAGUAAUGAUCACGCACGUGAUCGAUGAUGUCAUCCUAAAAAGGAGCCCUAAAAGGAGGUUAUAUAGACUAAACUGAAAAGCAGAAAGAAUAGUCUUUUGUAGGUUAGAUAAAUGAUGAAUUAGGUAGGGACUACGUCCUUAAUUAAAUGCUAGUCUUAGGUUUCCUAAAAGGGAAAAAAGUAUUUGUUGCAUGAAAUGUAAAUACAUGGUUGUGUAGGUGUCAUUUGUUAUUAUCCUUGAGCCACUUUUGGUUAUUUGCCUCAUCCAGGCUCCAGCUAUAUAUAUUACCUUAUCAGACAGUAAAGUACAAGAGGGUAACAGCUUGCAUGUGGAUGAAAUGACACAAAAAAAAUUCUUUAUCUAUUUUUAAACAAAAUCAGAAAAGAUAAUUAUAUAGUUCACAUGUUAUUACAUAUUUGUUGUUAUUUAGUAUUUUUAUAUAAGACAUUAUUAAAACGUUUUAUAUAUCACUUCAGAGUAAUGGCAAAAGCAGACAUUUACUUUCCUUUUUCUUCCAUUAUUUUUAAAGCCACAGAGUAAGAAACAAAAUUGGGCUCCAUGCUUGUUUUAUGUCCAUUAAAUUCCAUAGUAAAAACCAAAACCUUAUUUACUCUUACUGUCCUGUUUCUUGAACUUGGCCAUUGCUGAAGCCGUUAGGUUAUGCAAACUGGCUGAUCGAGGUAAGGCUGCUCUUUUGCACUUCAUCUGGAAUAAUUUUUUUAUUUCUGUUUUACCUAGUAUUUUGGUACCCAUAUUUCUUUUUUUUCUUAAAGCCAAUCUCGUUCUCUCAAAAGUACAGACAUAAAUACUGCUAUGAUCAAAAGGCGGAGAUAAACCAUAUCAAUGAAGGUGUCAUUGCUAUAUAGUACAAGGCAAACAUCGAUGGUGCUUUUGACAAAAAUAUCGUGGAAGGAGGCAUUGUUGCUGUCAUUCGUGAUACAAAAGGAAGGUGGUGUAUGGGUAUAUCAAUGAAAGUUAAUUCAACCUCACCUAUGCAAACAGAACUUAUUGCUCUAAGCCACAGCUUACAACUAAUCAGGAAACAACUCUUUCCAAUUGAAGUGGAAAUUGAUGCGAUGGAGAUAUUAAAAAUAUUCCACAAUAACACAAGUACUAAUAACAAAUUAGGCCAUGAAUGCAGCUUAUUGGUGGAGAAGGCAACCAAGCAGGGGAUAAUAUCAUUCAAGCAUAGCUUCAGGCAAGGGAAUGGAGUGGCACACGUUUUGGCAAAUGCAGCACAAAGAAAUAACUCUUUCGAUAAGCUAUACAGUUUUGGUACACCUCCUGAUUUUGUUAGGGCUGUCUAUGAGAAUGAUAUGGAGGACUAUGUUAAUGUUAGAACUAGUUGUAUUAAAUAAUGUGAAGAUCUAGCUAAACUAGGAAAUAUGAGUGCCAUAUGUAGCCUAAUGAUAUAUUCUAAUGAUGCAUGUAUGACAAACAUCCAUAGGGGAAACCAUCUCUCUCUACUUAACUUAAUAUGUAUACAUAUAUAAAAUAUGCUUUCUGUUUCAAAAAUAAAAAGGUGCUACUUCACAAUGCUUUAAAAAAAAUUCUUGAAAUAUAUUUAAUCGGAGAGCCAUAUUUGCACAAAACCAUCCGAACCCUAUAAAAAAGGAGUGCAUUUAUUAUUGGUUGAUGAAGUUGCUGGACUGAAGUAAAUUAUUUUAAUUCUUAAGAAGCAAAACUGGAACUAAUAGUACAUACUUGAAAUACCAUCAAAUAUGCAUAUGAUGUUUAAAUAGCAAGAGUAAUAGAGAUGUAGCAGAAGAAAAAAAUUCAAUAUCACAUUUUAAGGUACAUACAAAAGUUUGAAAAUAUAGUUUCAUGAUUCCUGGUAGCUUGCAGUAUCAGCAAAUUCCUCCAGUGCAUUAAAGUCAAAAGACAUACCUGCAAGGCCGCACCCGCCACUCUUCGGGCCACGUAUUUGUAACUAGUCUCUGCCAGGGCCGCACUUUCGGCACCCGCACAUAAAAGUGUCAUAUUGGUGGCCGCCUCCUCGCAUUUUUCCAACAAAUUAUAAUGUCUGGGAAUCACUAUGCGACGGGAAGCCUGGCCAGCCACCAUCUCCACUUGGUCUAAGGACCCGCCUUCUCCGCCCGUGUCCUCGAUGGCGAUUUUCGGGCUCGCCACAUACACACAUUCACCCCCUCUCUCUGCGGCUACCCACGAAGGUCCUCAACCUCGGCCUUCUUGGCAUCAAGUUCCGCCAUUAAGGCCGCAAUCGCACAUGCCAGGAGGAGGUCAGUAACUGCCUCCCUUCUACGAUCAGACCUCCCCAAGCGAAUGGCUUCAGCCAUGAAGACCGGCCUGGAAUCACGGCGGGGUGGCUUAACCUUCUCUAUCUGUGUAAACACCGCCUUGCCAGCACGAAUCUGGUGUCUCUUCAUUUCCUACGACUCUCCUUCUUCAAGGCCCCUCUCCGUGGGACGCAAGCCGGGAUCACAUGGCGUCACUUCGAUAGCGGGCGUCCAUAUGGGGGCAACCUCGGGGACGGUGUUAGCCAUAGCUGCCGGUACCUCCUAGGUUUUGACGUUAUGUUUCUUUUUCUCCUUCUUCAAGGCCCCUCUCCGUGGGACGCAAGCCGGGAUCACAUGGCGUCACUUCGAUAGUGGGCGUCCUUAUGGGGGCAACCUCGGGGAUGGUGUUAGCCAUAGCCGCCGGUACCUCCUAUGGCGUCAUCUCAAGCGUGGCCCCAAGCACCGCCUCAGACAUUGCCUAAGGAGCCGCCGCUGAUCUGGCUUCUUGCCUUGAGGGGGGAGAAGCACUGCCCCUAGACGUACCUACGAGGAGCAUAUCCUCCUCGUCAGAAUCAGACGCUGCCCUAGAAGGGCCGGCCACAGUUUUCUUCUUCUUCUGCGCCUUCUUCGAAGCACCCGACCUAUCAAAACAUGUAUGAUUUGAUCAAGGAAAAUUAAGGGGGUCUCCAAGCCAUAACAUUGAAGCACCCCGACCUACCAAAAUAUGUAUGAGUUACGCAAGGAAAAUUAAGGGGUGUCUCCAAGACAGAACGGAAAGGAAAAACCUAGCAAGGCUGUUACCUGUUGGGACAUAGAGCGUGAGGAAUUCUAGCCAGGUGUGGCAUUACUUCGCAAACGGUAUUUAAGCUCUCACCCAUGACCUAAUGUCAUCAAUCUGUCGAGGAGUGCAAGCUGUCACUACAUAAAGGUAAAAGGAAAUCUAAGAUGGUUAAGCCAAAAAAAUAAGAUUGCCAUAAAAACUACAUACAAAAAUGCUUACAUGUUGUGCUCCAUGCCUCGGGGAACCCUUCAGGGUUAGACGCCAGAUGCUCAGUACGAACAUAGAAAAAUUUCUUCCAAAAUUUACGACUGGCCUUGUCGUCGGCUUGCACCGCAAAACUCUUCAUGCCCUGACGUACCAACUUGAGCAUGGUACCUCUCAUGAAGCUCACGCUAAACAUUUACAAAAGGUGGUGAGCGGAGACCUCUUUCCUAGCCUUAGCAGUAUAAGUGGUAAGAAUCCUACACACCUUCAGCGCGUACGGGGUACGAUGGGCCGGACACGCCCCAUACCAACGGCGAAGCUCCUCCGCCAGAGGAUUAAGCGGGAAGCUAUAUCCAAUCCAAAAAGCAUACUCAUAAAACGUGCAAUAUCCUGGCAUGUGCACAUUGGCAUAGUCCGUCCCAGUGGGAGCCAUCUCAACAUAACCAAUAAUAAUGUACGACUUCCUGAGAGCAGCCAAAUGAGACGACGUCAGCUCGCUAAACUCCCUACGGAGGGAGUUUAUAUUUGUUGUUAAAAUCCUUCCGUGUUACCAUGUCUUGCGGAAGUACGUUGGAUGUUGAUAGAGGAACGAGGAUCUCCUCGACUUCUCCUUCUGUAUCGUCUAAGGACAAUGAAACCCUAGAAGAGGCAUCACCUUGGACUUUUCGCUAUCGUGGCGACGCUUAACCAUGAUGAAAGUUACGAGUGAACGACGUUUCAGGGGCACGAGGUUUGAUUCCCGAGAAUGAAAAUUUUAAGAAGAUCAACGAGUACCAGAAAACUAUGAGGAUAAGAUUGAGCAAAUACUCUCUGAAUACGUUCGAAAGUUUAAUUGAAUUCAACCUCCCCUCUACAUAUAAGGAAAAGCACACGGAAAUCGAAAAGGCAUAAUUAGAAAAUCGGCGUGGGAAACAAAUACGUCAUGUCAUGUCCUGAACUGCCUCAGGAGCAAAAGUAAUGAUCACACACGUGAUCGAUGAUGUCAUCUUAAAAAGGAGCCCUAAAAGGAGGUUAUAUGUCAACGGCAUAACACCUUCACAUAUGAUCACGCCCUUUUUCACAGUAUCCAAGCGUACGGCUAAAUUUCUAGAAAGGUCGAGCACGUAUGUCCGUUCGUUGAAGACGUUUCUCGGCUACGUCCCCAAUAAAUUGAGGGACUAUCUGUAUUGGAAAAAUUUGGUUCCCUAUUUUCUUAUGCUAUCUACGCACGUCCUUGAUAUAGAGACCGGCCCAACUGAGGUCGACUUGAGUAAGGUCGACCACAGUACGUAGUGGAAAAAGAAUGUUAUAUCUUUAAUAUUUCUGCUCCAGAAACCGAAAGGUUGAAAAUGAACCAGACAUUGGAUAAAUUUUAUCCUACGUAAUCCAAAGUAUUCCUUCUACUAUAGCUAACUUCUCCUAGCUUUGGCACAGCUACCUCUAAUUAUGCAACCUAAAAUCAUUAAGGGAGAGAUGCGUUUGGCUGAAAAUGUUUUCAUACUUAUGCUUCCUUUUUACGAAUUCGUAUGGUAAACUGAACAUGAAUAAAUACAAGUGUCUGAUAAUAAACUCUACAAAUAUAUUUUCAUCAAGAUAGAGUCGAGAGAGAAACAUAGUAUUGGUAUUAUACACUUCAAUUAAAAUUAAGUAUAGAUUAGAAAAAAGGAGGUAAUUGAAUUAUGUACUAGAAUAAAAUAUGCAUUAAUGUAAAUUUGGAACACGAAAUUAUAAAUUCCAAAAUCAAAAGACACUUGAAAAUACAAGCGCUCUUUUUUUCUCUAACAUUAAAAGAAGAUUCCGCAGUAGAAAUAUUAGAAUUUCUUGCCAUUGUUGUAAUCGAACUGGGCAAGUAAUUGUUUAACAAUGGCGUACAAGCACUCUUUUUUUCUCUAACAUGAAAAGAAGAUUCCGCAGUAGAAAUUUUAAAAUUUCUUGCCAUUGUUGUAAUCGAACUGGUCAAGUAAUUGUUUAACAAUGGCGAGCACGUACACACACACACAUAUAUAUAUAUAUGAACCGUUUGACUAAACUCAUACUUGCGAAUUAAUUGAAAGUUGCAAUCCAAAAGAAAAUCAGUAGACUUCUAUCGAUGAGAGAACCGGAACAACUAGUAAAAAUAGGGGGUUAAUUUUUAUUUUUUUUCACAACCAUACUAUAUGAUUUAAUCUGAAUAUUCUUAUGGUCAAAGUUCAAUAUGGCAGGCAAUCAAAAUAUAAAAGGGAAAAUUUAUGCUUUAAUCACUUUUAAUGGAGAAAGAAAAUAAUUCACUAUAGCAAACAUUUUCUAUAACAACAUUUAAUGUUUUUUACAACCAUACUAUAUGAUUUAAUCUGAAUAUUCUUAUGGUCAAAGUUCAAUAUGGUAGGCAACCAAAAUAUAAAAGGGAAAAUUUAUGCUUUAAUCACUUUUAAUGGAGAAAGAAAAUAAUUCACUAUAGCAAACAUUUUCUAUAACAACAUUUACUAUAAGUAAUGGUACUAUUUUAGGUGAGUGGUUAUGCCAUAAAUCUUUGCAGAAUUAGUUGAUAUGUCAGAUUAGGGGUAUAUAUCAGUCAUGAGCAUAAAAACAUUUAUUAACAUUCUUUCUUUAGUAAAUCAACUCAAACUAGACAACACAAAGAAGAGAUUUUAACUUCUAUGGAUAUUGAUAGUCAUGAGCAUAAAAACCUUUAUUAACAUUCUUUCUUUAGUAAAUCAACUCAACUAGACAACACAAAGAAGUGAUUUUAACUUCUAUGGAUAUUGAUAACGUAACGAUUUAAGUUGUAUAUUGACAGUUAAAUUUUUUAUUUCAUACCAUUAAUUCUGACUCGUCCGUACACUGAGACCACCAACCUCUGUACUUUUCUUUGAUUAUUUCAAGGAAUGUCUCGUAAUAUAUAAAGGGGACCUUCCCUUUGUAAAGGCUCACGUGUAUUUUGCUACUUAUAAUAUACAACUCUCUCUCACACUCUAUCUCUUGUGGAAAGAUGAUUACUUGUUCUAUUGUUCUUACAUCUCAAGAUAUCUACACUAUUAUCACAAAUCUUAGCUACAUGUUAUUCUUUAGUUAAUGGUUACUUGUUCUAUUGUUCUUACAUCUCGAGACAUCUACACUAUUAUCACAAAUCUUAGCUACAUGUUAUUCUUUAGUUCAUAUUACGCUUGAUUCUGAUUAACCCUUGUUAUUUUCGAUUAUCUUUUAGCUUAAUAAGUAUUCACAUAACUUUUUAGCCUAACAAGUUAAUUACUUAGCACAUUUACAAACCAAGAUUUUUAGCUUAAUGAGUAUUCACAUAACUUUUUAGCCUAACAAGUUAAUUACUUAGAACAUUUACAAACCAAGAUUUAAAAAAAAAAGGUUGAAUAGAAACUAGCGUAUAUCAAGACUAAACUGAAAAAGCAGAAAGAACAGUCUUUUAUAGGUUAGAUAAAUGCUGAAUUAGGUAGGGACUACGUCCUUAAUUAAAUGCUAGUCUUAGGUUUCCUAAAAGGGGAAAAAGCAUUUGUUGCAUGAAAUGUAAAUGCAUGGUUGUGUAGGUGUCAUUUUUUAUAAUCCUUGAGCCACUUUUGGUUAUUUGCCUCUUCCUGGCUCCUGCUAUAUUACCUUAGCAGACAGUAAAGUACAAGAGGGUAACAGCUUGAAUGUGGAUGAAAUGACAAAAGAAUUAUUUAUUUAUUUUUAAACAAAAUCGAAAAAGAUAAGUAUAUAGUUCAUAUGUUAUUACAUCUUUGUUGUUAUUUAGUAUUUUUAUAUAACACAUUAUUAAAAUUUUUAACAUAAUACUUAAGAGUAAUGGCAAAAGCAGACAUUUGCUUUCCUUUUCUUCUUUUUUAAAAAUACAGAGUAAGAAACAAAAUUGGGCUCCAUGCUAGUUUCAUUCAAGCAUAGCAUCGGGCAAGGGAAUGGAGUGGCACCCAUUAUGGCAAAUACAGCACUAAGGAAUAACUCUUUUGAUAAGCUAUAUAUUUUUGCUACACCUCCUGAUUUUGUUAGGGCCGUCCAUGAGAAGAAUAUGGAGGACUAUGUUUAUGUAUGAACUAGUAGUGUUAAACAAUGUGAAGAUCUAGCUGCACUAGAAAAUAUGAGUGUCAUAUGUAGCCUAAUGAUAGAUUCUAAUGAUGCAUGUAUGUCAAACAUCCAUAGGGGGAAACCAUCCCUCUCUAUGUAACUUAAUAUGUAUAUAUCAUAGGGGGAAACCAUCCCUCUCUAUUUAACUUAAUAUGUGUGUGUGUAUAUAUAUAUAUAUAUAUAUAUAUAUAUAUAUAUAAUAUGCUUUCUGUUUCAAAAAUAAAAAGGUGCUACUUCACAAUGCCUUAAAAGAAAAUCUUAAAAUAUAUUUAAUCAGAGAGCCAUAUUUACACAAAACCAUCUGAACCCUAAAAAAAAGGAGUGCAUUUAUUGUUGGUUGAUGAAGUUGUUGGAUAGAAGUAAAUUAUUUUAAUUUUUGAGACGCAAAACUGGAACUAAUAGUACAGACUUGAAAUACCAUCAAAUAUGCAUAUGAAGUUUAAAUAGCAAGAGUAAUAGAGACGUAGCAGAAGAAAAACAUCUAAUAUCACAUUUUAAGGUAGCCUGCAUUAUCAGAAAACAUUUAAUACUAGCAUGUAGUUUCUUUAGUUGUUUCUGUAGAAAAGAAUUUGUUCUUUAAUUGCAAAUAACCAUCGGGAAGAUUUCACUUUUGUUUUGGGAUGUCAAACCAAGACUUGUCUAUUUUUCUCCCCCUCCACUAAUUAAUUUUCUUUGCUUCAUUUAACGUUCCCCCACUCUUCGGGCCAAGUAUUUGUCACUGGUCUCCGCCAGGGCCGCACUUUCGGCACCCGCACAUAAAAGUGUCGUAUUGGUGGCCGCCUCCUCGCAUUUUUCCAACAAAUUAUAAUGACUGGGAAUCACUAUGCGACGGGAAGCCUGGCCAGCCACCAUCUCCACUUGGUCUAAGGACCCGCCUUCUCCGCACGCAUCCUCGAUGGCGAUUUUUGGGCUCGCCACAUACACACAUUCACCCCUCUCUCUGCGGCUACCCGCGAUCCUCCAUCCCAAGCACAUGCAAGGAGGAGGUCAGUAACUGCCUCCCUUCUAAGAUCAUACCUCCCCAAGCGAAUGGCUUCAGCCAUGAAGACCGGCCUGGACUCACGGCGGGGUGGCUUAACCUUCUCUAUCUGUGUAAACACCGCCUUGCCAGCACGAAUCUGGUGUCUCUUCAUUUCCUACGACUCUCCUUCUUCAAGGCCCCUCUCCGUGGGACGCAAGCCGGGAUCACAUGGCGUCACUUCGAUAGCGGGCGUCCAUAUGGGGGCAACCUCGGGGACGGUGUUAGCCAUAGCUGCCGGUACCUCCUAGGUUUUGACGUUAUGUUUCUUUUGGCUAGGGAGCCGCCGCUAAUCUGGCUUCUUGCCUUGAGGAGGGAGAAGCACUGCCCCUAGACGUACCUACGAGGAGCAUAUCCUCCUCGUCAGAAUCAGACACUGCCCUAGAAGGGCCGGCCAUAGUUUUCUUCUUCUUCUUCUUCUGCGCCUUCUUCGAAGCACCUCGACCUACCACAACAUGUAUGAGUUACGCAAGGAAAAUUAAGGGGUGUCUCCAAGACAGAACGGAAACGAAAAACCUAGAUAGGCUGUUACUUGUUGGGCCAUAGAGCGUGAGGAAUUCUAGCCAGGUGCUGCAUUCCUCUGCAAACGGUAUUUAAGCUCUCACCCAUGACCUAAUGUCAUCAAUCUGUCGAGGAGUGCGAGCUGUCACUACAUAAAGGUAACAUGAAAUCUAAGAUGUUAAGCCAAAAAAAUAAGAUUGCCAUAAAACUACACACAGAAAUGCUUACACGUUGUGUUCCAUGCCUCGGGGAACCCUUCAGGGUUAGACGCCAGAUGCUCAGUACGAACGUAGAAGCAUUUCUUCCAAUAUUUACAACUGGCCUUGUCGUCGGCUUGCACCGCAAAACUCUUCAUGCCCCGACGUACCAACUUGAGCAUGGUACCUUUCAUGAAGCUCACGCUGAACAUUUACAAGAGGUGGUGAACGGAGACCUCUUUCCCAGCCUUAGCAGCGUAGGUGGUAAGAAUCCUACACACAUUCAGCAUGUACGGAGUAAGAUGGGCCGGACACGCCCCAUACCAACGGUGAAGCUCCUCCGCCAGAGGAUUGAGCGGGAGGCUAUAUCCUAUCAAAAAAGUAUACUCAUAAAACGUGCAAUAUCCUGGCAUGUGCACAUUGGCAUAGUCCGUCCGAGUGGGAGCCAUCUCAACAUAACCAUUAAUAAUGUACGACUUCCUGAGAGCAGCCAAAUGAGACGACGUCAGCUCCCUAAACCCCCUAAGGAGGGAGUUUAUAUUUGGUGUUAAAAUCCUUCCGUGUUACCAUGUCUUGCGGAAGUAUGUUGGAUUUUGAUAGAGGAACGAGGACCUCCUCGGCUUCUCCUUCUGUAUCGUCUAAGGACAAUGAAACCCUAGAAGAGGCAUCACCCUUGGACUUUUCGCUAUCGUGGCGACGCUUAACCAUGAUGAAAGCUAUGAAUGAAUGACGUUUCAGGGGCACGAGGUUUGACUCCCGGGAAUGAAUAUUUUAAGAAGAUCAACGAGUACCAGAAAACUAUGAGGAUAAGAUUGAGCAAAUACUCUCUGAAUACGUUCGAAAGUUUAAUUGAGUUCAACCUCCCCUCUACUUAUAAGGAAAAGCACACGGAAAUCGAAAAGGCAUAAUUCGAAAACCGGCGUGGGAAACAAAUACGUCAUGUCAUGUCCUGAACUGCCUCAGGAGCAAAAGUAAUGAUCACACACGUGAUCGAUGAUGUCAUCUUAAAAAGGAUCCCUAAAAGGAGGUUAUAUGUCAACGGCAUAAUACCUUCGCAUAUGAUCACGCCCUUUUUCACAGUAUCCACGCGUACGGCCAAAUUUCUAGAAAGGUCGAGCACGUAUGUCCGUUCGUUGAAGACGUUUCUCGGCUACGUCCCCAAUAAAUUGAGGGACUAUCUGUAUUGGAAAAAUUUGGUUCCCUAUUUUCUUAUGCUAUCUACGCACGUCCUUGAUAUAGAGACCGGCCCAACUGAGGUCGACUUGAGUAAGGUCGACCACAGUACGUAGUGGAAAAAGAAUGUUAUAUCUUUAAUAUUUCUAUAUAGAGACCGGCCCAACUGAGGCCGACUUGAGUAAGGUCGACCACAGUACGUAGUGGAAAAAGAAUGUUAUAUCUUGAUUAUUUCUGCUCCAGAAACCAAAAGGUUGAAAGUGUACCAGACAUUGGAUAAAUUUUAUCCUACGUAAUCCAAAGUAUUCCUUCUAUUAUUGCUAACUUCUCCUAGCUUUGGCACAGCUACCUCUAAUUAUGCAGCCUAAAGUCAUUAAGGGAGAGAUGCGUUUGGCUGAAAAUGUUUUCACACUUAUGCUUCCUUUUUACGAAUUCGUAUGGUAAAUUGAACAUGAAUAAAUACAAGUGUCUAAUAAUAAACUCUACAAAUAUAUUUUCAUCAAGAUAGAGUCGAGAGAGAAACAUAGUAUUGUUAUUAUACACUUCAAUUAAAAUUAAGUAUAGAUUAAAAAAAGGAGGUGAUUGAAUUAUGUACUAGAAUAAAAUAUGCAUUAAUGUAAAUUUGGAACAAGAAAUUAUAAAUUCCAAAAUCAAAAGACACUUGAAAAUACAAGCGCUCUUUUUUUCUCUAACAUUAAAAGAAGAUUCCGCAGUAGAAAUAUUAGAAUUUCUUGCCAUUGUUGUAAUCGAACUGGGCAAGUAAUUGUUUUAGAAAUUUUAGAAUUUCUUGCCAUUGUUGUAAUCGAACUGGGCAAGUAAUUGUUUAACAAUGGCGUGCGCGCGCGCACACACACACACACACACACACACACACACACACAUAUAUAUAUAUAUAUAUANNNNNNNNNNNNNNNNNNNNNNNNNNNNNNNNNNNNNNNNNNNNNNNNNNNNNNNNNNNNNNNNNNNNNNNNNNNNNNNNNNNNNNNNNNNNNNNNNNNNNNNNNNNNNNNNNNNNNNNNNNNNNNNNNNNNNNNNNNNNAGACAUUUCUCAAAAUAAUCAAAGAAAAGUAUAUAUAUAUAUAUAUAUAUAUAUAUGAACUGUUUGACUAAACUCAUACUUGCGAAUUAAUUGAAAAUUGCAACCCAAAAGAAAAUCAGUAAACUUCUAUCGAUGAGAGAACUAGAAAGACUAGUAAAAAUAGGGGGUUAAUUUUUUUUCUUUACAACCAUACUAUAUGAUUUAAUCUGAAAUAUUCUUAUGGUCAAAGUUCAAUAUGGUAGGCAAUCAAAAUAUAAAAGGGAAAAUUUAUGCUUUAAUCACUUUUAAUGGAGAAAGAAAAUAAUUCACUAUAGCAAACAUUUUCUAUAACAACAUUUACUAUAAGUAAUGGUACUAUUUUAGGUGAGUGGUUAUGCCAUAAAUCUUUGCAGAAUUAGUUGAUAUGUCAGAUUAGGGGUAUAUAUCAGUCAUGAGCAUAAAAACAUUUAUUAACAUUCUUUCUUUAGUAAAUCAACUCAAACUAGACAACACAAAGAAGAGAUUUUAACUUCUAUGGAUAUUGAUAACGUAACGAUUUAAGUUGUGUAUUGACAGUUAAAAAAUUUAUUUCAUACCAUUAAUUCUGACUCGUCCGUACACUGAGACCACCAACCUGUACUUUUCUUUUAUUAUUUCGAGAAAUAUCUCGUAACAUAUAAAGGGGACCUUCUCUUUGUAAAGGCUCACAUGUAUUUUGCUACUUAUAAUAUAUAAUUCUCUCUCACACUCUAUCUCUUGUGGAAAGAUGAUUACUCGUUCUAUUAUUCUUACAUCUCAAGAUAUCUACACUAUUAUCACAAAUUUUAACUACAUAUUAUUCUUUAGUUCAUAUUACGCUUGAUUCUGAUUAAGCCUUGUUAUUUUCGAUUAUUUUUUAACUUAAUAAGUAUUCACAUAACUUUUUAUUCUAACAAGUUAAUUACUUACCACAUUUACAAACCAAGAUUUAAAAAAAAGGUUGAAUAGAAACUAGGAAUGCAGAGCACACGCGUCACGAAACGACUGCUAAUGAAAGUGAGAGCUCAAACCCCUUUUCUCCUCUCCACAACUCGGUCUCCUAUUUUCCUUUUACCUUUUUUCUUUUAAAUUUUUAUUUUCCUUUUAUUUUUUCGCCUUCAGAAACUCCGAAAAAUCAACAAAACUUUCAAAUCCAAAAACCUCCAAAACCCUAAUCAAGUAAACCCGCAGAUUUUGAUAUUUCCACACUUCAAUGCAAUCCCAUUUUCAAAUCUAUCAAUUUUCGCCAACUUAAUUUCACCAUUUUAGAGUCGUUAAGCAGCUUAAUUAACUACACACACAAAUUUGGGAGUAAUAAUGGCUGGUUCUGGAAGCUUCGCGGUGUCGCGGAGUCAUGGCGGUGACCGGUUCUACAAUCCUCCUGCUAUGCGCCGGAACCAGCAGAUGUUACAACAUCAACAGCAGCAGCAGUUACAGAAACAGCAACAGCAACAGCAGCAGCAGUUGCAGAGAGCAGCUAAUAAAGCUGAGGCGCCUGCUGCUGAGGCGGCUGGGAACCGGACGGACUCGGACGAUUCGACUACGACAUUGUCUAAGAAGCCCUCCGUUUGCUCCGCUGCUUCGCCGCCACGGCCGCCGCCAGUAAAUGUUACUAAUUUGGAUAGUUUGAUUGAGUCUGUUACUCCCUUCGUGCCCGCCCUGCAUUUUUCUGAGGUAUAAGAGGUGUUUCAGUCAUUUCUGAGUUAUAAGUUACUAGCAGUCGUUUUUUAAAAAAAAUAUUUUAUUUCUAUUUUUAUAAGUAACACAAUCUUUAUAGUAGCAGGAUUUUGCUUUUUUCAUUUUGCUCUGCUCAAGAGGCGCCUGCUGCUGAGGCGGCUGUAUCCCUAUUUUGGUGUAAGUUGACUGCUAUGCUCUGCAUCCCUAGUUUCUAUUCAACUGUUUUUUUUAUAUCUUGGUUUGUAAAUGUGCUAAGUAAUUAACUUGUUAGGCUAAAAAGUUAUGUGAAUACUUAUUAAGCUAAAAGAUAAUCGAAAAUAACAAGGGUUAAUCAGAAUCAAGCGUAAUAUGAACUAAAGAAUAACAUGUAGCUAAGAUUUGUGAUAAUAGUGUAGAUAUCUUGAGAUGUAAGAACAAUAGAACAAGUAAUCAUCUUUCCACAAGAGAUAGAGUGUGAGAGAGAGUUGUAUAUUAUAAGUAGCAAAAUACACGUGAGCCUUUACAAAGGGAAGGUCCCCUUUAUAUAUUACGAGACAUUUCUCAAAAUAAUCAAAGAAAAGUACAGAGGUUGGUGAUCUCAGUGUACGGACGAGUCAGAAUUAAUGGUAUGAAAUAAAUUUUUUAACUGUCAAUACACAACUUAAAUCGUUACGUAAUCAAUAUCCAUAGAAGUUAAAAUCUCUUCUUUGUGUUGUCUAGUUUGAGUUGAUUUACUAAAGAAAGAAUGUUAAUAAAUGUUUUUAUGCUCAUGACUGAUAUAUACCCCUAAUCUGACAUAUCAACUAAUUCUGCAAAGAUUUAUGACAUAACCACUCACCUAAAAUAGUACCAUUACUUAUAAUAAAUGUUGUUAUAGAAAAUGUUUGCUAUAUUGAAUUAUUUUCUUUCUCCAUUAAAAGUGAUUAAAGCAUAAAUUUUCCCUUUUAUAUUUUGAUUGCCUACCAUAUUGAACUUUGACCAUAAGAAUAUUCAGAUUAAAUCAUAUAGUAUGGUUGUGAAAAAAAAUAAAAAUUAACCCCCUAUUUUUACUAGUUGUUCCGGUUCUCUCAUCGAUAGAAGUCUACUGAUUUUCUUUUGGAUUGCAACUUUCAAUUAAUUCGCAAGUAUGAGUUUAGUCAAACGGUUCAUAUAUAUAUAUAUGUGUGUGUGUGUACGUGCUCGCCAUUGUUAAACAAUUACUUGACCAGUUCGAUUACAACAAUGGCAAGAAAUUUUAAAAUUUCUACUGCGGAAUCUUCUUUUCAUGUUAGAGAAAAAAAGAGUGCUUGUACUUUCAAGUGUCUUUCGGUUUUGGAAUUUAUAAUUUCGUGUUCCAAAUUUACAUUAAUGCAUAUUUUAUUCUAGUACAUAAUUCAAUUACCUCCUUUUUUUAAUCUAUACUUAAUUUUAAUUGAAGUGUAUAAUAACAAUACUAUGUUUCUCUCUCGACUCUAUCUUGAUGAAAAUAUAUUUGUAGAGUUUAUUAUCAGAAUUCAUGUUCAAUUUACCAUACGAAUUCGUAAAAAGGAAGCGUAAGUAUGAAAACAUUUUCAGCCAAACGCAUCUCUCCCUUAAUGAUUUUAGGCUGCAUAAUUAGAGGUAGUUGUGCCAAAGCUAGGAGAAGUUAGCUAUAGUAGAAGGAAUACUUUGGAUUACGCAGGAUAAAAUUUAUCCAAUAUCUGGUACACUUUCAACCUUUCGGUUUCUGGAGCAGAAAUAUUCAAGAUAUAACAUUCACUAUGACUUUCCAAAAGAACAUAUGAGGUUCGCAGGCAUGCAUUUACUCAUGCAACUACCUCUUUUCCUUUUAUGGGCUACUUCUCUAAGAUAAUUACUACUAUUAAAAAUUGACUGAAACAAGAACAAACAACAAUUUUAUUAUAAAAUAGCAUCCAGAACCAUGAAUCGGACACCAAAAUGCAUGAAAAUCACAAUGUGCUUCAAAAACUUCUUGAAUUGCAACCAAGCGUCUAAAUAAUAUCAAACGAAUUUUAAAUGAUUUCAAAUUUUGCAGACAAGUUUUAAAUAGAAAAAGAGAUUUAAUCCAUGUCCCAAAACUAAAAUCUGAACCCGAUAGCCUUAAAGUUAAACCAUCUAAAUAGCAAAACGGAUUUAAUCCAUGUCCCAAAACUAAAAUCUGAACCCGAUAGCCUUAAAGUUAAACCAUGAUCAAACUUAGGUAAAUUUUAAACAUUUAAAUUGUCAACAUUCGGCAUAACAAGUCAAAUCAAUCUAGGGAUCUUUGAAUUAAAUUGCGAAAAUAUUGUCGAAGUUCAAAAUCACCGUACGAACCCAAUUAAAACAGCAUAACUCUGAUCCAAGAUUAAAUAAGUAGAAGGUUAAACUUGGUCCACCCUUCCAACUUAAACCUUCAAAAAUGAGAAACAUUCAUCCAAAUCAUUCCCGAACCACUCGAAAUUCAAAACCAACGAUACACACAAGUCAUAAUACACCAUGUGAAGCUACUCGCGACCUCAAACCGCUGAACUAAGUGCAAAUGCUUAAAACGACUAGUUGGUUCGUUACAGUCUCCUCUACUUAAACAUACGUUUGUCCUCGAAUGUUCCAGGAGUCGUUCCAAAGCUAUCAAAUCACUGCAUAAGCUUGAACUUAAGGAUACAAUGUGUUGAAGUUUUGAACCGAAAAAAAACUGAACUUUGGGAUACAACAAUCUGAAAUUUUGAAUUGAAAAAAAUUAAACUUAAGUACACAAUGUUUAGGUUCGAGUCUUUUUUUUUCCUUUAUAAAAUUGUUGUUUGUUCUUGUUUCAGUCAAUUUUUAAUAGUAGUAAUUAUCUUAGAGAAGUAGCCCAAAAAAGGAAAAGAGGUAGUUGCAUGAGUAAAUGCAUGCGUGCAAACCUCAUAUGGUAAAAGUAGACAUUUGGGAAGUAGCCCAUAAAAGGAAAAGAGGUAGUUGCAUGAGUAAAUGCAUGCGUGCAAACCUCAUAUGUUCUUUUGGAAAUUCAUAGUGAAUAUCCUUCUGUCACUUUUGGACUUUUUUUUUUAAAGUAUCACCGAACUGGAAAGAGGAAACAACCUCUCCAUAUUCAGGUGGCAAUAGUUUCUACAAGUGAGACUACAAAACCAUACUAGAGCCUGCCUAAAUAAAUACAUAAAAAUAAUUCUUGAUAUUCCUAAAUCGAUUUUGCACUUUUAAUUUUUUAUAUAUAUAUAUAUAUAUUAUGGAGGUGUACAUUGUGUACUUUUUUAUGUUUUUUGUUCAAUCUUACUCUGUCAUAUUUCUUGUUACAUGAUUGAUUUUGCUAAGCUUGCCCCUCUUCCCAAAUCUCAUCAUGACCUUCAUAGGCGACACCCGAAACAACACCCGCUCAUGCCACAUCACUAACCUUACCAUCGAUGUGAGUACGUGAUUUUUGCCCUAUAUAAAUUACUCUCAUAAAUUCAAACAAAAUAAAAUUUUCCCAUUGUUUGAAUUUUGUGGAUUUUCGUAGUAUUUUUGCUAAUUAUCUGCAUUUGUCUGUUCAUGUUUAUUUUAUUCAAUUCAUGAAAAAUAUAAAAGAAAAAUAUUGCAUUUACAUUUAGGAUUUCAUUUUACAUUUUCAGAUUAAUUGGUAAAUAGUUUGUUUCGUAAAAAAUGAAAAAAUAACAAAAAAUAACUCAUUUUACAUUUUUUUUCGUUUUGAGUUUUGAAUUUUGUAGUUUUUCUUUUAAUUUGGUAUUUAAUUAUUCGUGGUAAUUAUUAUUAAGUAAUGAGUCUAAUUUAGUAGGGUAAUUUGGUUUAAACAAUUAAUUUAGGUUUAAAUUUCAAUUUGAAAAGAAAAGAUUUUGUAAUUGAAAAAAAACAAUUGAAAGGAAAGUCUUCUUGGGGCUUCAGGCCCAAGUAUCUUACCCUAAUACCCUGCUAAACCUAUUAGAAUCGACCCAAAACCCAUUCCAAAAAUUGGCCUGCCCCACAAUUAAGCCAAACGACGGUGUUUCGCCCUAUCUCAUCUCAAUUAUUGGAUCAACGAGAUCCAACGGACCGAAACUCACCCCUCCCCCAUAUAAAAUUGUCCGAGCAAGACCACCACCCCCUCAGAACCCCCCCCCAUUUCGUCUCUCUCAACUCUUCACCUCUCAGAGACAAAAGGAAACCCUAAGUUGCCACCAAAAACUCCGGAAAUUGUCCGAACAAGACCACCACCCCCUCUGAACCCCCAUUUCGUCUCUCUCAACUCUUCAUCUCUCAGAGACAAAAGGAAACCCUAAGUUGCCACAAAAAACUCCAUGCUCUUUCCGAUGGCGGCGCCACCACCAAACUACCCCAAAUCAACACCCCAAACUCCCCUUCCUCCCUUCAUAUAUAAUUCGUCGUUGUUUCCCUUCGAAUCUUAAAUCCAAGUUCGACCUUUAAAAGUUUAAAAAACAUUUUUCAUCGAACCUGGUAGCAUGCAUGCUCAUAGGGUGUUGUUCUUUCGAGCUUUGAAGUUUGGAUUCAAAAAAAUUGAUGUCGUUCAGUUGUUCUUGACAAAUAACAAAGGAUCAACAUUAGUUUUGUUAGGUCAUUUGUCUCAAGUAGGUUUCGAGUCCUGAUUUGGUAAGUUCCCCCCCCCCCCCCCCCCCCUUUUUUUUUUUUUUUUUUUUUUUUUUUUUUUUUUUUUGUUUUUUUUUUUUUUUUUUUUUUUUUUUUUUUUUUUUUUUNNNNNNNNNNNNNNNNNNNNNNNNNNNNNNNNNNNNNNNNNNNNNNNNNNNNNNNNNNNNNNNNNNNNNNNNNNNNNNNNNNNNNNNNNNNNNNNNNNNNNNNNNNNNNNNNNNNNNNNNNNNNNNNNNNNNNNNNNNNNNNNNNNNNNNNNNNNNNNNNNNNNNNNNNNNNNNNNNNNNNNNNNNNNNNNNNNNNNNNNNNNNNNNNNNNNNNNNNNNNNNNNNNNNNNNNNNNNNNNNNNNNNNNNNNNNNNNNNNNNNNNNNNNNNNNNNNNNNNNNNNNNNNNNNNNNNNNNNNNNNNNNNNNNNNNNNNNNNNNNNNNNNNNNNNNNNNNNNNNNNNNNNNNNNNNNNNNNNNNNNNNNNNNNNNNGGUUUGUUCAUUCCUUUACUAUUUUAUUUCUUUAUUCUCCUUCGAUUUUACAUUGGUUUAGUUUUCUUCUACUAGCUUAUUUGAAAGUAGACCAAUCCUCCGGGUUUAAAUUGUCUUCUGUUCGUUGUUUUUUUUCUUUUUCCUUUGUAAAGGCUUGUUCAAUGUUUUCCUUAAUUGUGCUAUUAGCCUAUUUAAAGUUCUGAUAUCAUAUCUCGUUUAGUCACCUAGUUAAUUUAAUUAAGGUUAUUUUGAUAACUUGGUUAAUUUACUGCUUACUUGUGUGUAGUAAUCAGUCGAUUAGUGUAGGUUUUAAUUCUCAAAAUCAUUCAAGUGAUUGCCCUUUGUUUGUUGACUGAUAUGAUUCAAUUUCUUUUGUUGUUUGGACUUUGAAGCCAUUGCAUACCACACCCCAAUGGGGUUAGUUUAGGUCAUUGGGUCAGAAUUGAGCCCACAGUUGGUUUAACUAUGGGGGCAUUUUGAACCAUUUGGUUUCCUAGAGUAAAAAACAUGGUUUAAAGGGUUGAUUUAGGAACUCUAGGUGGGGAAAUCUCAGUAAGUGAUUGAGUAAGAUUCCUAGAAGUUUGGGUGGGGACCUAACUGAAAAUCGGAAUUUUACACCAAGGUUUCUAAUUAAAAAUGAAAAUAAAAAAAUGUCCUAAAGGCAAAACAUAGUUCAUCUCUGCAGACUUAAUACUUUGCCUAUAAAGGCAUCGUUUCUUUGCCAACAAGGGAAAUUUUGGCAGAUAAAAAUACUAAAAAAUUAAGCAGCUAGAGUUUUUGGGAGGAAAAGUCUGAAAAAAUAUUGAGCGAAAGAAGAAAGAACUUCAAAAUUCUUGUGUUUUUAGUGAACAAUUUGUCUAGUUUUGAGUUAGUCUCUUCAUUCUGAAACCAAAAAGGAUUUUCUUAGCUUAUUCUGGAAUGGAAGCUAGUUUAAGGGAUGUUGUGUCACUGUUCUAUUGAUGAAAUUCUGAAGUGCUUCCGUUGUUUGCUUCUUCUUUGUUGAACUACUACUACUGUUGUCAAAUAACUGCAAGAUCAUUGUAUUUAGUUUGGGACCAUUAUGAUACUUGGGAAAUAUUUUAGUUGGUUGAAUCGGUAGUUUUAGACUCUACAUUCCAUCGCUUAAAUAAUGUAAUUGGGUAGAUAAAUGUUUCUUUUAAGAUUCGUGUGUAUAAAAUCGUGUUGAGAGAAAAUGAAAAGGAAAUGGUCUAGUUUGCUUCAAUGGGUAAAAACAUGCAUUGAUUAGCAUGUGAAUGUCUUUAAACUUAGAAAUGGCUGUCAGUUCAAUUCUAGUUAGUGAUUGAAUAACUAGUAAUUGUCAGUUUAAUUUUGCUUCUAUUCAGUGUCAAUCUUACAGGAACUACUAAUAUGGGACUCAUUUGAUGUUUAAAUUCUCAUGUCAUUACUUCAAGUUAGCUUGAAACCUUAAUAUUUAAAGUUAUAUAUUAUCCAGCUAUCAAAUUGGAAUUUUCAAUUAUUUUCGAAAUUAUGUCAUUAUUAAAAUCUCAUGAAAUUGUCCAUUACGUAGUUAAAAGCUAUUUUGAAAAUCGUCUGCAUAUACAUUUGUGUUUUGGUGAUAGUAAUUCAGGUUCACAUCGGCACCCAUUGAUUUUUCAGAUGCAGCUUGGCUUUUAAGGAUUCGAAGUCGAGUCCUCACUUGCUAAUCUCAGGCUCCUGAAAGUUUUGGGCUCAUCUUGGACUUAAGUCUGAAAAGACUUGCAAAAUCGAAACUACGCACUUUGUAUCAUUUAGGUUUGUUUUGCUCUGUUGGCUCGGUUCUCUCGUUUGUUUGGGUUGUUGACGAAGUAAUGUCUCUUUAGGUAAUUGUUUGUUUAAUAAGACGCUCAUGGGUAGCUGAUUUAGUUCGAACUUUUAGCAUAUAGGUAUUUUGAAUGCCUUUAGGUUUCUCCUUAAUUAACUAGAUUUUUUAAAAUGAGUUGAGGUGUGCCAUAUUAGCCAAAUGUAUAAUUUGUGGCCCUUAUGAGCUUAUUUAGAAACCUUGUUUGUUAGAAAAAUCAAGGCGCGCCAUGCCAAGUAAAAGAUUCAAAAUGCACGGCCCUCAUUUAAUUGAUCUUGAACCUUUGGAAAUCGAGGUGUGCCAUUAGCUUAAUUUUCAUGGCCCUCGCAACCAAGCGGGGGAUAAUAUCAUUCAAGCAUAGCUUCAGGCAAGGGAAUGGAGUGGCACACGUUUUGGCAAAUGCAGCACUAAGAAAUAACUCUUUUGAUAAGCUAUACAGUUUUGGUACACCUCCUGAUUUUGAUAGGGCCGUCUAUGAGAAUGAUAUGGAGGACUAUGUUUAUGUUAGAACUAGUUGUAUUAAAUAAUGUGAAGAUUUAGCUGCACUAGGAAAUAUGAGUGCCAUAUGUAGCCUAAUGAUAGAUUCUAAUGAUGCAUGUAUGACAAACAUCCAUAGGGGAAACCAUCUCUCUCUACUUAACUUAAUAUGUAUACAUAUAUAAAAUAUGUUUUCUGUUUCAAAAAUAAAAAUGUGCUACUUAUCCCUCUCUAUGUAACUUAAUAUGUGUUUAUAUAUAUAUAUAUAUAUAAUAUGAUUUCUGUUUCAAAAAUAAAAAGGUGCUACUUCACAAUGCCUUAAAAGAAAAUCUUAAAUUAUAUUUAAUCAGAGAGCCAUAUUUACACAAAACCAUCCGAACCCUAAAAAAAAGGAGUGCAUUUAUUGUUGGUUGAUGAAGUUGCUGGACAGAAGUAAAUUUUUUUAAUUUUUGAGACGCAAAACUGGAACUAAUAGUACAGACGUGAAAUACCAUCAAAUAUGCAUAUGAAGUUUAAAUAGCAAGAGUAAUAGAGACGUAGCAGAAGAAAAACAUUUAAUAUCACAUUUUAAGGUAGCCUGCAAUAUCAGAAAACAUUUAAUACUAGCAUGUAGUUUCUUUAGUUGUUUCUGUAGAAAAGAAUUUGUUCUUUAAUUGCAAAUAACCAUCGGGAAGAUUUCACUUUUGUUUUGGGAUGUCAAACCAAGACUUGUCUAUUUUUCUCCCCCUCCACUAAUUAAUUUUCUUUGCUUCAUUUAACGUGUUCUUUGCAUCAUCAUUUCAGGUUCAAUAUCACGUUUUAAGGUACAUACAAAACUGGUAGCCUGCACAAUCAGAAAAUUCAUCCAGUGCAUUAAAGGCUUAGCUCUUCUUGGCAGCUAGCUUUUCUGGAUCUUUGAAAAGAAUGGAUUUCUGUAGAAAAGAAUUUGUUCUUUAAUUGCAAAUAACCAUCGAGAAUAUUUCACUUUUGUUUUGGGAUGUCAAACAAAGACUUGUCUAUUUUUCUCCCUCUUCACUAAUUAAUUUUCUUAGCUUUAUUUAACGUGUUUUUGCAUCAUCAUUUCAGGUUCAAUAUCACAUUUUAAGGUACAUACAAAAUUGGUAGCCUGCACUAUCAGAAAAUUCAUCCAGUGCAUUAAAGGCUUAGCUCUUCUUGGCAGCUAGCUUUUCUGGAUAUUCAAAACCCCUUCCACCAACACACCACCAUAACCAUCAGCGCCGUUUCCUGACCUCUUGUAUUCAGUAGGCCUCAAGUGAGGAAUUCUUUUUCCACUACGUACCCCUCUUCUUGGAUUUGGUAGCAUAUAUAUAGCUGUAAGUAAUUAGUCGUUGCACCAUUUGUUAUUCUUUCUUUGUUUUGUGGUUUGUAAGUGUUCACAUUUGCUUAUAAUCUUUGAUAUCGCAAUUCUUAGACUGUAAUAGGAGGUUUAGCUUUUUGGUUUUGACUGUUUAAGAGUUUAAUACUAACAUGUAGUUUCUUUAGUUGUUUUUGUAGAAAAGAAUUAGUUUGAUAAUUGCAAAUAACCACCGGGAAGAUUUCACUUUUGUUUUGGGAUGUCAAACAAACACUUGCCUAUUUUUCUCCCCUCCACUAACUAAUUUUCUUAGCUUCAACUGUACGUACUUGUUGAAGCCAUUUAAUUCUUUGCAUCAUCAUUUCAGGUUCUUUUUAUUAGUGUCCUACAUUAACAUUGUUCUCGCCAGUCUUUUCAGAUUGGGUUGAUCUGCUGAUUUGAUCAGGUAGCUAUUUAUAAAUUUGAGUUUGCAUUGCUAUCUAGUAAGAUUUGAAAAAUUCUAGUAGUAAUGAAUACUAAAGAAUUCCAUUAUGUCAUUCAGGUUAAGAUGUUGCGCCGCACAAUCAGUUGUCCAAUAGCCUAUUCCCAGAGGUAUAUUACUGCUCUCAAAACUUGAUGCUUAGUGAAAUAAUUAGAAGUAGAGUUGUAACAACAAAGGAGCUUUAGUGUUUCCAUAGACUUAAUUCCUUGGAUAAUUAUAGUUAUCAAAAUUAUAUAUUUAAUAAAGUUACCGUCCAUGAGAAGGAUAUGGAGGACUAUGUUUAUGUAUGAACUAGUAGUGUUAAACAAUGUGAAGAUCUAGCUGCACUAGGAAAUAUGAGUGUCAUAUGUAGCCUAAUGAUAGAUUCUAAUGAUGCAUGUAUGUCAAACAUCCAUAGGGGGAAACCAUCCCUCUCUAUUUAACUUUAUAUAUAUAUAUAUAUAUAUAAAAUAUGCUUUCUGUUUCAAAAAUAAAAAGGUGCUACUUCACAAUGCCUUAAAAGAAAAUCUUAAAAUAUAUUUAAUCAGAGACUCAUAUUUACACAAAACCAUCCGAACCCUAAAAAAAAGGAGUGCAUUUAUUGUUGGUUGGGAUGUCAAACAAAGACUUGUCUAUUUUUCUCCCCCUCCACUAAUUAAUUUUCUUAGCUUCAUUUAACGUAUUCUUUGCAUCAUCAUUUCAGGUUCAAUAUGACAUUUUAAGGUACAUACAAAAUUGGUAGCCUGCACUAUCAGAAAAUUCAUCCAGUGCAUUAAAGGCUUAGCUCUUCUUGGCAGGUAGCUUUUCUGGAUAUUCAAAAACUCUUCCACCAACACACCACCAUAAUCAUCAGCACCGUUUCCUGACCUCAUGUAUUCAGUAGGCCUCAAGUGAGGAAUUCUUUUUCCACUACGUACCCCUCUUCUUGGAUUUGGUAGCAUAUAUAUAUAUAUAUAUAUAUAGCUGUAAGUAAUUAGUCGUUGCACCAUUUUUUAUUCUUUCUUUGUUUUGUGGUUUGUAAGUAUUCACAUUUUGCUUAUAAUCUUUGAUAUCGCAAUUCUUAGACUGCAAUAGGAGGUUUAGCUUUUUGGUUUUGACUGUUUAAGAGUUUAAUACUAGCAUGUAGUUUCUUUAGUUGUUUCAGUAGAAAAGAAUUAGUUUGAUAAUUGCAAAUAACCACCGGGAAGAUUUCACUUUUGUUUUGGGAUGUCAAACAAACACUUGCCUAUUUUUCUCCCCCUCCACUAACUAAUUUUCUUAGCUUCAACUGUACGUACUUGUUGAAGCCAUUUAAUUCUUUGCAUCAUCAUUUCAGGUUCUUUUUAUUAGUGUCCUACAUUAACAUUGUUCUCGCCAGUCUUUUCAGAUUGGGUUGAUCUGCUGAUUUGAUCAGGUAGCUAUUUAUAAAUUUGAGUUUGCAUUGCUAUCUAGUAAGAUUUGAAAAAUUCUAGUAGUAAUGAAUACUAAAGAAUUCCAUUAUGUCAUUCAGGUUAAGAUGUUGCGCCGCACAAUCAGUUGUCCAAUAGCCUAUUCCCAGAGGUAUAUUACUGCUCUCAAAACUUGAUGCUUAGUGAAAUAAUUAGAAGUAGAGUUGUAACAACAAAGGAGCUUUAGUGUUUCCAUAGAGUUAAUUCCUUGGAUAAUUAUAGUUAUCAAAAUUAUAUAUUUUAUAUAGUUACUAGGUAUUCCUUGUAAAGCAUUGGCCGGUAAGGAUACCGACGUUUGCGGUCACUAUUGCGGUCGAUCUGAUAGAGAUGUAAUCUGAUCCCAACAAUAUCAAAUUAUUAAUAUAAACAACUCAACACCAAUAUUUACGAAAUAUCAACAAAAAAGAAGAUGAAACGUAUAAAACAUUAAAGAAUCACUAAUACAACUGAUAAAAUCCAAUACCUCGAAAUCCCAAAAAAUAUGAAGUAAAUGAACAAACUACGAUGUAUCACAAAAUUAAAAGCAAUAAAAGAGUUAAAUAAACAAAGUCACAACAACAACAACAACAACAACAACCCAAUGUAGUCCUACAAGUGGAGUCUGGGGACGGUUGGAUGUAUGCAACCUUACCCUACCCUGGAAGGAAAGAGAGACUUUUUUCGAUAGCUCAAAAAAAUCAAAUAGCAAGUGAUGACAACUCAUAAAUAAAAACACGGUUAUAAAAAAACAAUUAACAAGUAAGGCAUGCAACAGAUAAAGGCAUGAUUCGACAAGUAAUCGCGAUUAAAAUUUUUAAGCAUAUAAGAGUAUAUUUCACAAUAAAGGUAGAACAUGUACUAACAACUUCAAUUUAAUGCAUGAAAUAAGACUAAGAGUCUGAACCGAACAAAUACCACAUAUAAGCCCGUGUACACACCCAUCACCUCGUGUACUCGCCUUUCUCGCAAUUCAAAUAGUACAAUCAACCCAAAUCUUAAGGGGUGGUUUCCCCUACACAAAGUUAAGCAAGAUACUUACCUCAAUUACGCUAAUUCGAAACCCAAAAUAGCGUUUUCUUUAAAAGUUACAUCCGCCUCGUUUAAAUCUAGCAAAAACUAACUUAAUAAUAUCAAAAAAUACAAGGGAACCAAUUCCAAUUAAUAGAGCUAUAAUCUUUAUAUAUUUUUUCAAAAGUCAAAAUUAGGCUCACCCGGUAAAAACCCGAGUCGAAGGGUAGCCAUAGCCCUGCGAGUUCAUAUAUAUGGUUUGUUUUCAAUUCCGAGUCAAAUUUCUCUUAAAUCUUAAAUUUUUAUUUUUCAGAUCAUAAUAAAAAAUCCCUAAAUUUUCCCUUCAAAACCCAUGAAUUUGACGUUAAAUCUCAUAAAUAAUCAUGUAAUAUAAUUAAAAAUGGAUUAAAGUGACUUAUCGAAUAGUUUGGUAUGAAAAUCUCUCAACAAAUUGAAAUCGCCUCCCGCCAAGUCUGGGAUUCCAAAUAUGAUAAGAUGAAGGUAAGUCCUGAAAUACUCAGCGAUUAACAAACUGCACAAGUGACAUGCGCAAUUGCGGAAAAAGGAUCACAAAAGCGAAACCUAGCCAGACCUACUAAUGUCGCAUUUGUUACAAUAAACUUUGCCAUUGCGAAGGUGUUUCCCCGUAGAGGCUCAUUGCAAAAGCGACUCUAGUGCCCCAAAAGCUAGCUCCAGUGUAUAUAAUUGUGAUACAAUCCCCGUAAAUGCGAGGUCCCUUCCCCAGCAGUCCUGAUUCACAACUGCGAGAUGAAACCACCACCCUCACACAAAAUUCUAACAAAAUACAUAUAAAACUCACCUGACCCCUGGGGGAUCCACAUCAAACAUUCACACAAGUCUAAAAAUAUUAUACGAACUCGAUCACACGAUCGAAAUACUAAAAUAGCAUCCACAAGAACUCUAUCACACGAUCGAAAUACUAAAAUAGCAUCCAGAACCAUCGAUCGGACACCAAAAUGCAUGAAAAUCACUAUGUGCUUUAAGAACUUCUUGAAUUGAAACCAAGCGUCCAAAUAAUAUCACACCAAUUUUAAAUGAUUCCAAAUUUUGCAGACGAGUUCUAAAUAGAAAAACGGAUCUAAUCCAUGUCCCAACACUAAAAACUGAACCCGAUAACCUUAAAGUUAAACCAUGGUCAAACUUAGGUAAAUUUUGAAUAUUUAAAUUGUCAACUUUCGGCAUAACAAGUCAAAUCAGUCUAGGGAUCUCUAAAUUAAAUUUCGAAAAUAUUGUCGAAGUUCAAAAUAACCGUACGAACCCAACUAAAACAUCAAAACUCUGAUCCGAGAUUAAAUAAGUAGAAACUUAAACUUUUUUGCACUUUUAAUUUUUUUGUAUAUAUAUUAUGGAGGUGUACAUUGUGUACUUGUUUAUGUUUUUUGUUCAAUCUUACUCUGUCAUAUUUCUUGUUACAUGAUUGAUUUGAAAAGAUUACGAUGAACUAAUUAAGAUUUCCAUCAUUUAGAGAAUUAAAUAUGUUGCAGCGAGGAAGGAGUUGUCCGCCAUCCUUUUCUGAGAGGUAAAUUCUAAAAAUUAACAGUCUCCUCUAUUUAAACAUACGUUUUUCCUCGAAUGUUCCAGGAGUCGUUCCAAAGCUAUCAAAUCACUGCAUAGGCUUUAUCUUAAGGAUACAAUGUCUUGAAGUUUUGAACCGAGAAAAACUGAACUUUGGGAUACAAGACAUUGUAUCCUUAGGUUCAAGCUUAUGCAGUGACUUGAUAGCUUUGGAACGACUCCAGGAACAUUCGAGGAAAAACGUAUGUUUAAAUAGAGGAGACUGUAACGAACCAACUAGUCAUUUUAAGCAUUUGCAAUUUGUCCGGCGGUUUGAGGUCGCGAAUAGCUUCACAUGGUGUAUUUUUUGAAUAUCGAGUGGUUCGGGAUUGAUUUGGGUGAAUGUUUCUCAUUUUUGAAGGUUUAAGUUGGAAGAUCGAGUGGUUCGGGAUUGAUUUAGGUGAAUGUUUCUCAUUUUUGAAGGUUUAAGUUGGAAGGGUAGACCAAGUUUAACUUUCUACUUAUUUAAUCUCGGAUCAGAGUUUUGAUGUUUUAGUUGGGUUCGUACGGUUAUUUUGAACUUCGACAAUAUUUUCGGAAUUUAAUUCAGGGAUCCCAAAACUGGAACUAAUAGUACAGACUUGAAAUACCAAAACAAAAGUGAAAUCUUCCCGGUGGUUAUUUGCAAUUAUCGAACUAAUUCUUUUAUACAGAAACAACUAAAGAAACUACAUGCUAGUAUUAAACUCUUAAACAGUCAAAACCAAAAAAUUAAGGCUAUCGGGUUCAGAUUUUAGUUUUGGGACAUGGCUUAAAUCUGUUUUGCUAUUUAAAAGUUGUCUGCAAAAUUUGAAAUCAUUUAAAUUCGUUUGAUAUUAUUUAGACGCUUGGUUGCAAUUCAAGAAGUUUUUGAAGCACAUUAUGAUUUUCAUGCAUUUUGGUGUCCGAUUCAUGGUUCCGGAUGCUAUUUUAUUAUUGCGAUCGAGUUCAUAUAAUAUUUUUAGACUUGUUGAAUCCUAUUAUUCGUUUUUUUAUCAGUUAGCUUAUACUAUCAUCAUUUUUUUAUGUUAAAUUCCUUUGUGUAAGAUUCUGCGAGAAUACGAGUCGCUUCGUACACUAGUUGCCCAAUUUCGGUGAAAUCCUCCCAUUGUGUGUGGAUUAUAAAUUAAUGUGGCAUCUGCAUUAUUGUUUGUUCUUUGGAAAAACUUCAUACACUGUUAGACGCUAUCUCAAGAAAAGUAUGUCCAUUUUUUUCUUCCAUUAGUAGUACAAAUAUAUUUUCAUCAAGAUAGAGUCUAUCUCAAGAAAAGUAUGUCCAUUUUUUUCUUCCAUUAGUAGUACAAAAACGUAACUUGAAAUAAUUCCUCACUUGAGGCCUACUGAAUACAAGAGGCCAGGAAACGGUGCUGAUGAUUAUGGUGGUGUGUUGGUGGAAGAGGUUUUGAAUAUCCAGAAAAGCUACCUGCCAAGAAGAGCUAAGCCUUUAAUGCACUGGAUGAAUUUUCUGAUAGUGCAGGCUACCAAUUUUGUAUGUACCUUAAAAUGUCAUAUUGAACCUGAAAUGAUGAUGCAAAGAAUACGUUAAAUGAAGCUAAGAAAAUUAAUUAGUGGAGGGGGAGAAAAAUAGACAAGUCUUUGUUUGACAUCCCAACCAACAAUAAAUGCACUCCUUUUUUUUAGGGUUCGGAUGGUUUUGUGUAAAUAUGAGUCUCUGAUUAAAUAUAUUUUAAGAUUUUCUUUUAAGGCAUUGUGAAGUAGCACCUUUUUAUUUUUGAAACAGAAAGCAUAUUUUAUAUAUAUAUAUAUAUAUAUAAAGUUAAAUAGAGAGGGAUGGUUUCCCCCUAUGGAUGUUUGACAUACAUGCAUCAUUAGAAUCUAUCAUUAGGCUACAUAUGACACUCAUAUUUCCUAGUGCAGCUAGAUCUUCACAUUGUUUAACACUACUAGUUCAUACAUAAACAUAGUCCUCCAUAUCCUUCUCAUGGACGGCCCUUACAAAAUCAUGAGGUGUAGCAAAACUAUAUAGCUUAUCAAAAGAGUUAUUCCUUAGUGCUACAUUUGCCAAAACGUGUGCCACUCCAUUCCGUUGCCCGAUGCUAUGCUUGAAUGAAACUAGCACGGAGCCCAAUUUUGUUUCUUACUCUGCAUUUUUAAAAAUAAAAGAAGAAAAGGAAAGUAAAUGUCUGCUUUUGCCAUUACUCUCAAGUAUUAUAUUAAAAGUUUUAAUAAUGUGUUAUAUAAAAAUACUAAAUAACAACAAAGAUGUAAUAACAUGUGAACUAUAUACUUAUCUUUUCCGAUUUUGUUUAAAAAUAAAUAAAGAAUUUUUUUUCUCAUUUCAUCCACAUUCAAGCCGUUACCAUCUUGUACUUUACUGUCUGCUAAGGUAGUAUAGCAGGAGCCUGGAAGAGGCAAAUAACCAAAAGUGGCUCAAGGAUUAUAACAAAUGACACCUACACAACCAUGCAUUUACAUUUCAUGCAACAAAUACUUUUCCCCCUUUUAGGAAACCUAAGACUAGCAUUUAAUUAAGGACGUAGUCCCUACCUAAUUCAGCAUUUAUCUAACCUAAAAAAGAUUAUUUUUUCUGAUACUGCAGGCCUACCUGUUUUGUAUAUGUACCUUAAAAUGUGAUAUUGAAUUUUUUUCUUCUGCUACGACUCUAUUACUCCAUAUGCAUAUUUGAUGGUAUUUCAGGUCUGUACUAUUAGUUCCAGUUUUGGGUCUCAAAUUUACAUUUGUCCAAUACAAAUAGAUAAAUAAAAAUAUUAAAUGUUUCAGCGUGAGAAAAGUUAAUGUCAUUUCUCUGAGGCAGCACGUGAAACUUCCCAUAUUUUGCUCUGUAUCCCUAUUUUGGUGAAAAUGCGAGUUAAUGUCAUUUCUCUGAGGCAGCACGUGAAACUUCCCAUAUUUUGCUCUGUAUCCCUAUUUUGGUGUAAGUUGACUGCUAUGCUCUACGUCCCUACGUGUUCAUCAUAUCAAUGAUACUAUUGGAUAUAUCAACAAAUGUACGCUUGAGCCUCACGUGAAACUUCCCAUAUUUUGCUAUGUAUCCCUAUUUUGGUGUAAGUUGACUGCUAUGCUCUGCAUCCCUAGUUUCUAUUCAACCUUUGUUUUAAAUCUUGGUUUGUAAAUGUGCUAAGUAAUUAACUUGUUAGGCUAAAAAGUUAUGUGAAUACUGAUUAAGCUAAAAAAUAAUCGAAAAUAACAAGGGUUAAUCAGAAUCAAGCGUAAAUGAACUAAAGAAUAACAUGUAGCUAAGAUUUGUGAUAAUAGUGUAGAUAUCUUGAGAUGUAAGAACAAUAGAACAAGUAAUCAUCUUUCCACAAGAGAUAGAGUGUGAGAGAGAGUUGUAUAUUAUAAGUAGCAAAAUACACGUGAGCCUUUACAAAGGGAAGGUCCCCUUUAUAUAUUACGAGACAUUCCUUGAAAUAAUCAAAGAAAAGUACAGAGGUUGGUGGUCUCAGUGUACGGACGAGUCAGAAUUAAUGGUAUGAAUCUCGAAAUAAUCAAAGAAAAUUACAGAGGUUGGUGGUCUCACUGUACAGACGAGUCAGAAUUAAUGGUAUGAAAUAAAUUUUUUAACUGUCAAUACACAACUUAAAUCGUUACGUAAUCAAUAUCCAUAGAAGUUAAAAUCUCUUCUUUGUGUUGUCUAGUUUGAGUUGAUUUACUAAAGAAAGAAUGUUAAUAAAUGUUUUUAUGCUCAUGACUGAUAUAUACCCCUAAUCUGACAUAUCAACUAAUUCUGCAAAGAUUUAUGACAUAACCACUCACCUAAAAUAGUACCAUUACUUAUAAUAAAUGUUGUUAUAGAAAAUGUUUGCUAUAUUGAAUUAUUUUCUUUCUCCAUUAAAAGUGAUUAAAGUUAGAAAAUGUUUGCUAUUGUGAAUUAUUUUCUUUCUCCAUUAAAAGUGAUUAAAGCAUAAAUUUUCCCUUUUAAAUUUUGAUUGCCUACCAUAUUGAACUUUGACCAUAAGAAUAUUCAGAUUAAAUCAUAUAGUAUGGUUGUAAAAAACAUUAAAAAUUAACCCCCUAUUUUUACUAGUUGUUCCGGUUCUCUCAUCGAUAGAAGUCUACUGAUUUUCUUUUGGAUUGCAACUUUCAAUUAAUUCGCAAGUAUGAGUUUAGUCAAACGGUUCAUAUAUAUAUAUAUGUGUGUGUGUGUACGUGCUCGCCAUUGUUAAACAAUUACUUGACCAGUUCGAUUACAACAAUGGCAAGAAAUUUUAAAAUUUCUACUGCGGAAUCUUCUUUUCAUGUUAGAGAAAAAAAGAGUGCUUGUACUUUCAAGUGUCUUUCGGUUUUGGAAUUUAUAAUUUCGUGUUCCAAAUUUACAUUAAUGCAUAUUUUAUGCAUAUAGAAAUGCUUACAUGCUGUGUUCCAUGCCUCGGGGAACCCUUAUGGGUUAGACGCCAGUUGCUCAGUACGAACGUAGAAACGUUUCUCCCAAAAUUUACGACUAGCAAUGUCGUUGGCUUGCACCGCAAAACCCUUCUUGCCCCGACGUACCAAUUGGAGCAUGGUACCUCUCAUGAAGCUCACGCUGUACAUUUGCAAGAGGUGGUGAACGGAUACCUCUUUCCUAGCCUUAGCAGCGUAGGUGGUAAGAAUCCUACACACCUUAAGCACAUACGGGGUAAGAUGGGCCGGACACGCCCCAUACCAACGGCGAAGGUCCUCCACCAGAGGAUUGAGCGGGAGGCUAUAUCCAAUCCAAAGAGCAUACUCAUAAAACGUGCAAUAUCCUGGCCUGUGCACAUUGGCGUAGUCCGUCCCAGUGGGAGCCAUCUCAACGUAAUCAUUUAUAUUGUACGCCUUCCUGAGAGCAGCCAGAUGAGACGACGUUAGCUCGCUAAACUCCCAAUGAGGGAGUUUAUAUUUGUUGUUAAAAGCCUUCUGUGUUACCAUGUCUUGCGGAAGUAUGUUGGAUGUUGAUAGAGGAACGAGGACCUCCUCAGCUUCUCCUUUUGUAUUGUCUAAGGACGAUGAAACCCUAGAAGAGGCAUCCCCAUUGGACUUUUCGCUAUCGUGGCGACGCUUAACCAUGAUGAAAUUUAUGAAUGAACGACGUUUGAGGGGCACAAGGUUCGAUUUUCGGGAAACAAAAUUUUAAGAAGAUCGACGAGUACCAAAAAAGGAUGAGGAUAAGACUGAGCAAAUACUCUCUGAAUAGGUUCGAAAGUUUAAUUGAGUUCAACCUCCCCUCUACUUACAAGGAAAGGCACACGAAAAUCGAAAAGGCAUAAUUCGAAAACCAGAGUGGGAAACCAAAACGUCAUGUCAUGUCCUGAACCGCCUUGGGAGCAAAAGUAAUGAUCACACACGUGAUCGAUGAUGUCAUCUUAAAAAGGAGCCCUAAAAGGAGGUUAUAUGUCAACGGCAUAACACCUUCGCAUAUGAUCACGCCCUUUUUCACAGUAUCCAAGCGUACGGCUAAAUUUCUAGAAAGGUCGAGCACGUAUGUCCGUUCGUUGAAGACGUUUCUCGGCUACGUCCCCAAUAAAUUGAGGGACUAUCUGUAUUGGAAAAAUUUGGUUCCCUAUUUUCUUAUGCUAUCUACGCACGUCCUUGAUAUAGAGACCGGCCCAACUGAGGUCGACUUGAGUAAGGUCGACCACAGUACGUAGUGGAAAAAGAAUGUUAUAUCUUUAAUAUUUCUGCUCCAGAAACCGAAAGGUUGAAAAUGAACCAGACAUUGGAUAAAUUUUAUCCUACGUAAUCCAAAGUAUUCCUUCUACUAUAGCUAACUUCUCCUAGCUUUGGCACAGCUACCUCUAAUUAUGCAGCCUAAACUCAUUAAGGGAGAGAUGCGUUUGGCGGAAAAUGUUUUCAUACUUAUGCUUCCUUUUUACGAAUUCGUAUGGUAAAUUGAACAUGAAUAAAUACAAGUGUCUGAUGAUAAACUCUACAAAUAUAUUUUCAUCAAGAUAGAGUCGAGAGAGAAACAUAGUAUUGUUAUUAUACACUUCAAUUAAAAUUAAGUAUAGAUUAAAAAAAAGGAGGUAAUUGAAUNNNNNNNNNNNNNNNNNNNNNNNNNNNNNNNNNNNNNNNNNNNNNNNNNNNNNNNNNNGAGUAAUAUAUAAAGGGGACCUUCCCUUUGUAAAGGCUCACGUGUAUUUUGCUACUUAUUAUACACAACUCUCUCUCUCUUGUUGGAAAUAUUAUUACUUGUUCUAUUGUUCUUACAUCUCAAGAUAUCUACACUAUUAUCACCAAUCUUAGCGACAUGAUAUUCUUUAGUUCAUAUUACGCUUGAUUCUGAUUAACUCUUGUUAUUUUCGAUUAUUUUUUAGCUUAAUAAGUAUGCACAUAACUUUUUAGCUAACAAGUUAAUUACUUAGCACAUUUACAAACCAAGAUUGAAAAAAAAAAGGUUGAAUAGAAACUAGCGUAUAUCUAGACUAAACUGAAAGGCAGAAAGAAUAGUCUUUUUUAGGUUAGAUAAAUGCUGAAUUACGUAGGGACUACGACCUUAAUUAAAUGCUAGUCUUAGGUUUCCUAAAAGGGGAAAAAGUAUUUGUUGCAUGAAAUGUAAAUGCAUGGUUAUUUAGGUGCCAUUUGUUGUUAUCCUUGAGCCACUUUUGGUUAUUUGCCUCUUCCAGUCUCCUGCUAUAUUACCUUAGCAGACAGUAAAGAACAAGAGGGUAACAGCUUGCAUGUGGAUGAAAUGACAAAAAAAAAUUCUUUAUUUAUUUUUAAACAAAAUCGGAAAAGAUAAGUAUAUAGUUCACAUGUUAUUACAUCUUUGUUGUUAUUUACUAUUUUUAUAUAACACAUUAUUAAAACUUUUAAUAUAAUACUUAAGAGAAAUGGCAAAAGCAGACAUUUGCUUUCCUUUUCUUCCUUUAUGUAAGAAACAAAAUUGGGCUUCAUGCUAGUUUCAUUCAAGCAUAGCUUCUGGCAAGGGAAUGGAGUGGCACACGUUUUGGCAAAUGCAACACUAAGGAAUAACUCUUUUGAUAAGCUAUAUAGUUUUGCUACACCUCUUGAUUUUUUUAGGGCCGUCUAUGAGAAGGAUAUGAAGGAUAAUGUUUAUGUAAGAACUAGUAGUAUUAAACAAUGUGAAGUUCUAGCUGCACUAGGAAAAACG